rnacentral:rRNA from 1 species
GUUACUGCUAUCGGAGUUCGAUUAAGCCAUGCGAGUCUAAAGGUUUCUUCGGAAGCCUUGGCGGACUGCUCAGUAACACGUGGAUAACCUGCCCUUAGGUCUGGCAUAACCCCGGGAAACUGGGGAUAAUACCGGAUAGAUCAGGGGUCGCUGGAAUGCGCCCUGAUCCAAAGCUCCGGCGCCUAAGGAUGGGUCUGCGACCUAUCAGGUUGUAGUGGGUGUAAUGUACCUACUAGCCGACGACGGGUACGGGUUGUGAGAGCAAGAGCCCGGAGAUGGAUUCUGAGACACGAAUCCAGGCCCUACGGGGUGCAGCAGGCGCGAAACCUUUACAAUGUGCGAAAGCAUGAUAAGGGAACUCCGAGUGCCAGCAUUAAAUGUUGGCUGUCCUUGUGCCUAAAACGCACAAGAUAGCAAGGGCCGGGUAAGACCGGUGCCAGCCGCCGCGGUAACACCGGCGGCCCGAGUGGUAGCCGCUAUUAUUGGGUCUAAAGGGUCCGUAGCCGGUUUGAUAAGUCCUCUGGGAAAUCUGAUUGCUCAACAAUCAGGCUGCCAAGGGAUACUGUCAAACUUGAGACCGGGAGAGGUAAGAGGUACUUCAGGGGUAGGAGUGAAAUCUUAUAAUCCUUGGGGGACCGUCUGUGGCGAAGGCGUCUUACCAGAACGGGUCUGACGGUGAGGGACGAAAGCUGGGGGCGCGAACCGGAUUAGAUACCCGGGUAGUCCCAGCCGUAAACGAUGCUCGCUAUGUGUCAGAUACGGUGCGACCGUAUCUGGUGCCGUAGGGAAGCCGUGAAGCGAGCCACCUGGGAAGUACGGCCGCAAGGCUGAAACUUAAAGGAAUUGGCGGGGGAGCACUACAACGGGUGGAGCCCGCGGUUU